UUUAAUAUUGGGUAGGUGAUAAUUAUUAGUUUGGGGUUCAACACCAUCUUUGCAUACCACCUUCGAAACUCAACUUUCCGCCAAAAAAAAAAAAAGCAAAACUCUUUUACUCCCUGAUUUCUCGAAAUUUAGAAUGUCUCCUCGUUUCCAUUUUUAAGCUACUUAUUAGCACAUAUACAAUCACUCACAAUUUGAUUUCCAUACUUACAAAACUUGUAAAGAGCGAUAUAAACGACCUCCGCACACAAACCCCAUCGAACUCAUCUUUUCGCCGUAGUCGGAAUCUGACCGGAGUCAGUCGCAGUCACCGGAACCCAAACCUCCGCCGUUCGCCGCACUCAGAGUCGGGACGAGUAGUUCCGUCAAAAGCUAACCGGGUCUCGUACACUCGCCAGGGAAACAAUGUCGCCGGAACCGAAUGGAGAAACCCCGAAGCCGUCGGAGUAAACCGAGCUCGCCGGAAAGCAUGGUCGUUCACGCCAUUCUUCAUUUCGGGUGAUUGUGUCUUUUGGUGUUAUCUCUCUUUCGUUACUCGUGCGGAUUAACGGGCUUUAACGGAACGCAGAACUGUUGAUGAUGACGAUGCUAUGAAAAGAAGUAGCGUUGAUGCCUAGAUACACAUAUAGACGUUUAGGUUUAAUAUGUUGUAUCAAUUUUGCUUAUGUUAUGUACUUCUUUGAACUUGAUGUAUUUGAAUUUCUUGUAAUGUUGACAAUUUACUUUAUGAAAUGAAACUAGU
rnacentral:lncRNA from 1 species